GGUACCCUAGCUCAGUUGGUAGAGCAAAGGACUGAAAAUCCUUGUGUCACUGGUUCGAUCCCAGUGGGUACCA
rnacentral:tRNA from 1 species